rnacentral:misc_RNA from 1 species
GAUGAAGAACGUAGCGAAAUGCGAUAAGUAAUGCGAAUUGCAGAAUUCAGUGAGUCAUCGAAUCUUUGAACGCACAUUGCGCCCCUCGGUAUUCCGUGGGGCAUGCCUGUUCGAGCGUCAUUUACCCCUCAAGCACUGCUUGGUGUUGGGCGUCUGUCCCGCUUCGCGCGCGGACUCGCCCCAAAGGUAUUGGCAGCGGUCGUGCCAGCUUCUCGCGCAGCACAUUGCGCUUCUCGAGGCGGUCGAUCGGCGUCCACGAAGCUCACCUCCACCGUUUGACCUCGGAUCAGGUAGGGAUACCCGCUGAACUUAAGCAUAUCAAUAAGCGGAGGA